rnacentral:rRNA from 2 species
UGAGGUCAGGCAAGAACACCCGCUGAAC